CUUCUUUCCCCGCCCGGAGCAGCAGGGGCCCUGCCCCAUGCAGAACCACAGAGGCAGGGGCGCCGCCUCACCCCUCCUCCACCAGCGACUCCUGCAGCCUGGGCUCCUGUCUUCUGGCAGGUGCCCACCGGAGCAGCUCAGGAUCGCAGAUGUCUCAGAAUCUUCCCUCUAGCAAAGUUACUCCUAAAAACCUAUCCCAGCCAGGGCAGGGAGGAGACAGGAGAUGCCCGGCUCUGCCCGCCUGAAGUCAAGGUCCUGCUGCCCACUGUGGGCUCCUGGCUCCAGCUGUGUGGGACAGCCCAGCAGUCAGCACAUCCAGGCCUGGGCACGUCUCUGCGGGGCCCAGAGCCCAGUGGGUCCAUGCACUCGAGGUCUUGGGGUGAUUCCACUUAGCAGAGACUCAGAACAAUCAGCUGCCAUCACCUCCCGUGGAAUGGCUGUGAUGCCAUGAUGGGAAGAACCAACCAACCCACCUGUCUCUCAUCCACAAACGGAAGCAAACUGCGAGAACCUCCUCCUCCAGCAAGGGUGGUACAAGCAGCUCUGCAGAGCCACGGAGCGUCCACCGAUCCCCAGGACAGGUUGUGGCUCAGGGAGGCGGCACCCACAACAGGCUUCCCAGGCCGCACCUCCAGGCCCCGAUCUCUGCUCUCACCUCCUGGGCUCACCCUCCCGGGGGAAGGAGGGGCUGGACAUGGAGCCUGUGGCUGCUCGGUGUGGGUGGUGACACUCUUGGUGACGUCCCUCGGUCGUCAGGACUCAUUUCCCCGGUGUUGGAUGCAGCUCGAGGACAGCAGAGGGGCCCAGCCCAUAAGGAUGGGAAGGUCUAACUGUAGAUGCUGACACCGAAUGCCGGAGACGCGGAUGCUUCUACCCCAGUGGCACCAAGGCUGCUGUCUGCGGAAUCCCAAAGGUGACAGCUUUCUCUACCACGGGCCGCCCCAGCCCGCCAGCUUUGGGCUUGCCGUGCAUGGGAUUACGUGCUAAACUUUGUGGGUGUCACAGGAUGCUUCUGACAAUAUGAUAAUGAGAACCGGGGAGCGACUGGUAUUUUCAAACUCAGUCAUCUUUUUCUACUUACAGAGAAUCCCGUUUGGAGAGAUGUCAUGGGAGUGUAGUUUUUUGUUGUUUUGGUCUAGGGAAAAGUAGUCAGAUAGGCCUUCUGGCUACAGGCAAAGAUAAAGCCCGAAUUCUAUUCAAGAAUAAAAAUGUUCAGAAAACCAAAGAGUAAAGCCACACAGUACUAAUUCACACUUACGAUGUGCCAGGCACGAACCCAAACACAUUGCAUUAUUCCACACGUGAUCGUCCAACGGGCCUAUGAGGUGGGGGGGUGUCCACCCUGUGGUCCCCUCCAGCUGUGAGGUGGGGGCAGGUGUCAGCUCCAUGGUCCCCUCCAGCUGUGAGGCGGGGGGCAGGUGUUGGCUUCACGGUCCCCUCCAGCUGUGAGGUGGGGGCAGGUGUCGGCUCCAUGGACCCCUCCAGCUGUGAGGUGGGGGCAGGUGUCGCUCCAUGGACCCCUCCAGCUGAUGAGCGACCCCCGCUGCCCAGCGACCCUCUGCUGCUGCCCUGGUUCCCCUACCCUGUCACUGACUCAAGGUCUUGGUUUCUAUAAUUAAUCCCUCUCUCUUGCAUAUAAUUUCUUCCCUUUUCAGUAUCUAUUAUUUCCCAUGUAAAAUACUAACACCCUCCACUGACCUCACAUUCCCUCCAGUUAUCCUCCCUGUAUAACGAAGCCCUCGGCAGGGCACGGCCUCACCUCCCACCUCAGCAGGGCACGGCCUCACCUCCCACCUCAGCAGGGCACGGCCUCACCUCCCAUCUCAGCAGGGCACGGCCUCACCUCCCAUCUCAGCAGGGCACGGCCUCACCUCCCAUCUCUGCAGGGCACGGCCUCACCUCCCAUCUCAGCAGGGCACGGCCUCGCCUCCCAUCUCUGCAGGGCACGGCCUCACCUCCUACCUUAGCAGGGCACGGCCUCACCUCCCACCUCAGCAGGGCACGGCCUCACCUCCCAUCUCUGCUGAGUCCACUUCAUUCAGGCUUCCGUCCCCAGCUCCCUCUGAAACCACACCUGUCCAGGUCACCAGCGAGGUCAGUGUUGCCGAACCCGGUGGCCCCCUCUUCCUGGCCUUCCCAGGGGCAGCUUCCCUGACUGACCACUCCCUCCUUCUUGAACCUUUUUUUUCACUUGGACUUGAGGACCCCGUACUCUUUCCCAUCCUUGCCCUCCCCUCAGUUCCACCUCAGGCUCCUCUGCUGAACCCUCGUCUUCCUCCAGGCCUCUAGUUCUGCAAUGCCCCAGCUCCCAGUCCUGAGCCCCUUCUCUCUUCCCACGUUCUCCCGGGUUGGUCUCCUCUAGUCUGUGGUUUGGGGCACCAUCUACACAGAUGCUUCCCUGAUUUUCCGUCAUCAGCGCCUCCUUCCCGAGCUCUAGCCUCAUAUCUUCAAUGGCUGAUUUAAUUUUUGACUUCUAUGUCCAGGUUUACCAUUUACAAAGCACAACUCUUGAUUAUUCACCAGCAAACACACUUUCCCCUGCGUUUUCUCCUCCUAGCAAAUGAUCUCACCACUGACCUGUCUGCCUGGGCCGACACCUGGGACCACCCCUGAGUCCUCAGCAUCCCCGCAGGAAACAAGCCAGUGAGAAGGACGAUUUACAUGAAAAGGCCUGACUGGAAGGGCUACUCUCAGAGAUGGGGGCAGAGAUAAGCAACAAAGGACAGAUGUUAAGGACCCAGAGACCAGCGACAGCAGGAAGUCCCCACCACCCUAGGCCAGAAGGGACCAGAGAGAAACAGAAUAUUCGGAGGCCAGGGAAGGUGGGUCUCUUCCUGGUGGGAACUGUGGUCAGGCAGUGACCA
rnacentral:lncRNA from 10 species